UGGGGAAUAUUGGGCAAUGGGCGCAAGCCUGACCCAGCAACGCCGCGUGAGGGAAGAAGGCCUUCGGGUUGUAAACCUCUGUCCUUGGUGACGAAACAAAUGACGGUAGCCAAGGAGGAAGCCCCGGCUAACUACGUGACAGCAGCCGCGGUAAUACGUAGGGGGCGAGAGUUGUCCGGAAUUACUGGGCGUAAAGGGUGCGUAGGUGGCCUUUUAAGUUGGAUGUGAAAUACCCGGGCUUAACUUGGGGGGUGCAUCUAAUACUGGGAGGCUAGAGUGCAGGAGAGGGAAGCGGAAUUCCUAGUGUAGCGGUGAAAUGCGUAGAUAUUAGGAGGAACACCAGUGGCGAAGGCGGCUUUCUGGACUGUAACUGACACUGAGGCACGAAAGCGUGGGGAGCAAACAG
rnacentral:rRNA from 1 species